rnacentral:lncRNA from 1 species
GAGGCAGAGAAGAACCCAGUGGGCCUGGCCCGCAAUGAACCUGACCCCCUAGAGAAACCCACCGGCCCGACACGGCCUUCGUCUGGUUCCUCAACCCUCUCAAGUCCAUCAAGUACCUCAUCUGCACCCGGUACAAGUGGCUCAUCAUCAAGAUCGUGCUGGCGCUGUUGGGGCUGCUCAUGUUGGGGCUCUUCCUCUACAGCCUCCCUGGCUACAUGGUCAAAAAGCUCCUUGGGGCAUGAAGGCCGCCAGCUCCCGCCAGCCGCUCCCCAGCCCUGCCGCAUUUCCUUUCAGUGGCU